UGGCACUACAAGGUCUUCAGGAACUG
rnacentral:piRNA from 2 species